rnacentral:tRNA from 1 species
UCCUGUGUGGCUUAGUUGGUAGAGCAUGGCGCUUACAAUGCCACGGUUGUAGGUUCGAUUUCCACAGGGG